rnacentral:rRNA from 1 species
UCUACCUAGUAGUAUGGGAUAGCCACUAGAAAUGGUGGGUAAUACUGUAUAAUCCCUGCGGGGGAAGAUUUAUCGCUAUUAGAUGAGCCUAUGUCAGAUUAGCUAGUUGGUGGGGUAAUGGCCUACCAAGGCGGUGAUCUGUAGCUGGUCUGAGAGGAUGAUCAGCCACACUGGAACUGAGACACGGUCCAGACUCCUACGGGAGGCAGCAGUGGGGAAUAUUGGACAAUGGGCGCAAGCCUGAUCCAGCUAUGCCGCGUGAGUGAGGAAGGCCUUAGGGUUGUAAAACUCUUUCAGUAGGGAAGAUAAUGACGGUACCUACAGAAGAAGUCCCGGCAAACUCCGUGCCAGCAGCCGCGGUAAUACGGAGGGGGCAAGCGUUGUUCGGAAUUAUUGGGCGUAAAGGGCAUGUAGGCGGUUUGGUAAGUUAAAGGUGAAAUACCAGGGCUUAACCCUGGGGCUGCUUUUAAUACUGCAGGACUAGAGUCCGGAAGAGGAUAGCGGAAUUCCUAGUGUAGAGGUGAAAUUCGUAGAUAUUAGGAGGAACACCAGUGGCGAAGGCGGCUAUCUG